rnacentral:rRNA from 1 species
UGGGGAAUAUUGCACAAUGGGCGCAAGCCUGAUGCAGCCAUGCCGCGUGUGUGAAGAAGGCCUUCGGGUUGUAAAGCACUUUCAGCGAGGAGGAAGGUGGUGAGCUUAAUACGCUCAUCAAUUGACGUUACUCGCAGAAGAAGCACCGGCUAACUCCGUGCCAGCAGCCGCGGUAAUACGGAGGGUGCAAGCGUUAAUCGGAAUUACUGGGCGUAAAGCGCACGCAGGCGGUUUGUUAAGUCAGAUGUGAAAUCCCCGGGCUCAACCUGGGAACUGCAUUUGAAAACUGGCAAGCUAGAGUCUCGUAGAGGGGGGUAGAAUUCCAGGUGUAGCGGUGAAAUGCGUAGAGAUCUGGAGGAAUACCGGUGGCGAAGGCGGCCCCCUGGACGAAGACUGACGCUCAGGUGCGAAAAGCGUGGGGAGCAAAACAGGAUUAGAUACCCUGGUAGUCCACGCUGUAAAACGAUGUCGAUUUUGGAGGUUGUGCCCUUGAGGCGUGGCUUCCGGAGCUAACGCGUUAAAUCGACCGCCUGGGGAGUACGGCCGCAAGGUUAAAACUUAAAGGAAUUG